UACGUAGGUGGCAAGCGUUGUCCGGAUUUAUUGGGCGUAAAGGGAGCGCAGGCGGUGACUUAAGUCUGAUGUGAAAGCCCACGGCUCAACCGUGGAAGGUCAUUGGAAACUGGGUCACUUGAAUAUAGAAGAGGAAAGUGGAAUUCCAUGUGUAGCGGUGAAAUGCGUAGAUAUAUUGAGGAACACCAGUGGCGAAGGCGACUUUCUGGUCUAUUAUUGACGCUGAGGCUCGAAAGCAUGGGUAGCAAACAGGAUUAGAUA
rnacentral:rRNA from 1 species